CACGCAGGCGGUCUGUCAAGUCGGAUGUGAAAUCCCCGGGCUCAACCUGGGAACUGCAUCCGAAACUGGCAGGCUAGAGUCUUGUAGAGGGGGGUAGAAUUCCAGGUGUAGCGGUGAAAUGCGUAGAGAUCUGGAGGAAUACCGGUGGCGAAGGCGGCUCACUGGGCCAUUACUGACGCUGGGGCACGAAAGCGUGGGGAGCAAACA
rnacentral:rRNA from 1 species